UCGAAAUCGGUGGACGCUACGGACUUAAAAUCCGUUGGCUUUUUAGACCGUGAGGGUUCAAGUCCCUCUACCCCCA
rnacentral:tRNA from 1 species